rnacentral:rRNA from 1 species
CACACACCGCCCGUCACGUGACGAAAGUUGGUUUUGCCCGAAGUCGUUGAGCUAACCGCAAGGAAGCAGACGCCGAAGGUAAAGCCGAUGAUUGGCGCG